UACGGGGGAGCAAGCGUUGUUCGGAUUUACUGGGCGUAAAGGGCGCGUAGGCGGCCUGUGCAAGUCAGUUGUGAAAUCUCCGAGCUUAACUCGGAACGGUCAACUGAUACUGCGUCGGCUAGAGUGCGGAAGGGGCAACUGGAAUUCUUGGUGUAGCGGUGAAAUGCGUAGAUAUCAAGAGGAACACCUGCGGCGAAGGCGGGUUGCUGGGCCGACACUGACGCUGAUGCGCGAAGCUAGGGAGCGAACGGGAUAGAA
rnacentral:rRNA from 1 species